rnacentral:lncRNA from 1 species
ACAAUAGUUUAUUGAUUGUAGCAAUUUUAUUGCAAAAUAAUAAUACAAAUAAAUAAAAUCUAUAGAUCAUCUUAUCUUUAUAGGGAUUCGAUGCUAUAUGGUUGAGUAGGAUUCAUAUGAGAGAUAGAUCUAAUAAAAGAAGAAAUUUUCAUGUUUAUCACAUUGUUGGUACCGUUAUUCAAGUUUACCACCAAUAAUUAUAUAUAUAUUUUUUUUUAUUUUUCCAAUUUUAUUUUUUUCAAAUUCAAACUUUUUUCGAUUUUUUUCGAUUUUUUUUCUUUUUUCAAUUCUUCUUUUUGAAAUUAGAUAAUUAUUUAUGAAACUGUUUUUAAAAAAAAAUAUUUAAUUUUUUUAAUUAUUUAUUUGAAUCCUAAACUCCACAUUCCAAAAAUCCUACAUUCCUUUUAACUCUAAACCCUAAGUCUAAA